AUUGAACGCUGGCGGCAGGCCUAACACAUGCAAGUCGAGCGGAUGACGGGAGCUUGCUCCUUGAUUCAGCGGCAGACGGGUGAGUAAUGCCUAGGAAUCUGCCUGGUAGUGGGGGACAACGUUUCGAAAGGAACGCUAAUACCGCAUACGUCCUACGGGAGAAAGCAGGGGACCUUCGGGCCUUGCGCUAUCAGAUGAGCCUAGGUCGGAUUAGCUAGUUGGCGGGGUAAUGGAUCACCAAGGCGACGUUCCGUAACUGGUCUGAGAGGAUGAACAGGUAAGCUGGAACUGAGACACGGUCCAGGAUCCCACGGGAGGCAGCAGUGGGGAAUAUUGGACAAUGGGCGAGAGCCUGAUCCAGCCAUGCCGCGUGUGUGAAGAAGGUCUUCGGCUUGUAAAGCACUUUAAGUUGGGAGGAAGGGCAGUAAGUGAAUACCUUGCUGUUUUGACGUUACCGACAGAAUAAGCACCGGCUAACUCUGUGCCAGCAGCCGCCGUAA
rnacentral:rRNA from 1 species